rnacentral:rRNA from 1 species
AGUGAACGCUGGCGGUAGGCCUAACACAUGCAAGUCGAACGGCAGCACAGUAAGAGCUUGCUCUUACGGGUGGCGAGUGGCGGACGGGUGAGGAAUACAUCGGAAUCUACUUUUUCGUGGGGGAUAACGUAGGGAAACUUACGCUAAUACCGCAUACGACCUACGUGUGAAAGCAGGGGAUCUUCGGACCUUGCGCGAUUGAAUGAGCCGAUGUCGGAUUAGCUAGUUGGCGGGGUAAAGGCCCACCAAGCCGACGAUCCGUAGCUGGUCUGAGAGGAUGAUCAGCCACACUGGAACUGAGACACGGUCCAGACUCCUACGGGAGGCAGCAGUGGGGAAUAUUGGACAAUGGGCGCAAGCCUGAUCCAGCCAUACCGCGUGGGUGAAGAAGGCCUUCGGGUUGUAAAGCCCUUUUGUUGGGAAAGAAAAGCAGCAGGUUAAUACCCCGCUGUUCUGACGGUACCCAAAGAAUAAGCACCGGCUAACUUCGUG